CAAGGCCCAGAGAAAUUAAGGAAAACUGCCUAAGGCCACACAGCAAGUAAGUGAAGGAACCAGAAAUAGAAGUCAAGGGCACCUGGUCCAUUACUCUAACCUCUAACUAUGUUGCUUUCCCCAGGAGUCCACCAAUUAGUGGGAACAGCUCUUACUGACUAAUGGAUGGUUAACUUUACAAGUGGAAUGAUUUUUACAAAUGAGCUACAAUAUGACUUUUUAAGAUUCCUUCAACAUCAGGAUUCCCGAUCAUCUCAUCAACCGACUUGUUAAGAAAACUGAGGCCCAGGGAAGUGGCUCACAAUUGUGUAGAAUUGUGAGGUGUCUUGACUGCUGGGCCAGGACUGAAGGACGUACGCCCUCUCCCGGAAUCGUCUCAGCUACAGAGAACCACCUUGCCCAAGGUCACCACCCUCUUGCCAAGGGGGUCACUUGGAUCUAAUGAUUGGUUAAUGCUGGGGGGAGGGGGUAAGUCUUGGCCCCCAGCCUCAACAGUGAUGGCGGUGGCUCCGGGGUCAUCCUAGCUUCCGAGUUUCGUCUAGGUUGAGGGCGCCAUGUUGGGACUGCAUCAGCUUCUCUCUCUGCCUGGUUCUGCUUCCUUUACUUUACCAUUUGUUGUUAGUCCAGGGCACACCCCAGUAAACUUCCUGCAUGCGAGUUCAUCUUAGACUGCUUCCCAGGGAAUCGUAUGUACAACACUCGGGAGUAGAGAGUCACUGAAACGGCCCUAGCUCUGAGAGACCCCUCCUGACCAGCCAUCACCCCUCCCGCUCUUCCUUACUCUGAUUUAUUGUCUUCGUAGAAUUUAACUCUCAGGUCUAUGGCCAUACUGCCCUGAAUGCGCCUGAUCUUGUCUGAUUUCAGAAGCUAAGCAGGGUCGUGCCCGGUUAGUACUUGGAUGGGAGAAUUUAGUGCUCGAACACUAUUGCUGUAGCUUUCUUUAAUAAAUAAAUUUGACUGCC
rnacentral:lncRNA from 1 species